UUCAAUGCGGCACACUGAGGCAACAACACGACAUCGCAACAACACAACUUUGUUUUCAAAAUGGAGACCAAGGAAAUGAUCAUCUCUGGCGAAAUAGUUUUCACCAAUGAUCCACCCAAAGGUCGCUUACCAAAACCUUCUCGUCUGGUUGUGAAAUUAGAGGACUGCAGACUUGCAGAUGCGUCAUCAAUCGUAAUAUGUAGCGUGACUAUUGAUGCCCACACAGACUAUGAAGAAGGGAAGCCUCUGGGAUUUAAAAUGACUGUGCCAAACUUUGUCAUUGGAAUGGAGUAUGAGAUGGCUGCAGUUUUAAAUGUUGGCUGGAUUCCUGACAUUGUAAAAGAAGAAUGGAUUCGCAAGGGAGACUAUCUAAAUGAUACACAUCAUCACCUGAUGAUUGCAGAUUCAAGUCAGUCUGAAGUCAAACACAAUGUCAAAGUUAUUCAUUACACAUAGGCUUUUUCUUUACUUUUAUAUACACACCUUUAAUUGAAGUGACAUUAUGACUAUAUUACAUUGUACAUUUUACACUGUAUUUAAUAUUGCGCUGCUUUAACAUGUAUUAAUUAUUAAGAAUUUAUUUUGAUUUUUAAAUUGUAAUUUAUAACAAAUUAUUCAUAUCUUUAGAACCUGACUUCUUUUAAACUAAAAUCAAUCAAUCAUUUUCAUGAAAGACUAUUUUGUACCUAAAACAAAAUGUCACAACCUUUGACUCAGAUUUAACAGACCAGAUUAUAAGUUUUUAGGGGCCUACAAUCUGGAAUUUACUCCUAGAAUCAAAAAUAAAGACAGCACAAAGUACCGCACAAUUCCAAAAUUUGGUUAAAAUUUGGUUCCUCAGAAAAUAAGGGCCUGUUAUUUUUGCAAUAAGUAAUCUGUCUUAUCUUAUGCAAUCCUUGAAAUUGCUUUUUAUGUUAGUCUUAAUUAACAUAUGUUCACUAAUUGUAAAAACUGACAUUAAAUAAACCAUAUAAUUAAAAUUAUAAAGAGAAUAUUCAAAGUCGUUGUUUAAGGUUGGGAUAAAUGGAGGUAUUGAAAAACGAGCCAACCUUAAAAUUAAAAGAAAAAUUUUAAAUUUUUAUUUACACUAACAGAUUGAAAAUUAGUUCAAGACUCAGAAGUCAAUAGUGAUUAAACAGAGGAGAAGGUCCCUUCUAUUUUCAAUGUCAAAGUAUGCCUUCAUUUCAUUUAAUUGAAAAAUCUUCACUUGGCAACCUGACACUUAAAGCCCCCUCUGAGAAACUUUUCUAGCCCCCCCUCGGGGUGUGUGUAUUAUUGGAAAGAAACAGUAUGUACAAAAAUUUCACUAUUAAGAAGUAUUUCAUUUUAUCGCAUAUAUCUUAUUUAUAUCUCUGUUGCUGAAGUUGCGUUAACUUAUAGUUUGAAAUUUUGAAGUAUAAUUAUCCAAAUAUUGAUGAAAUGAAAAAAGUAAAAGUAGAGAAAGGGUUGAAGCUGUGCAGCACCAAGUGAUAAACAGUAGCAACAGCAACAACAAACAUACAAAUAGGUUUCGUAGUGAUCAAAGAUGGAGUCAAAGGAAAUGAUCGUUUAUGGUAAAAUAGUUUUCACCAAUGAUCCACCGAAAGGCAGUUUACCAAAGCCUUCUCAAUUGGUUGUAAAGCUAGAGGACUGCAGACGUGCGGAUGCUGCAGCCAUCACAAUUUCUCAAGUGACAAUAGACGCCCACACCAACUACGAGGAAGGGAAGCCUCUGGCAUUUCGAAUUACUGUGCCAAACUUUAUCAUUGGCAUGGACUAUGGGAUGUCUGCUGUUUUGAAUGUUGGCUGGAUUCCUGAUGCUGCAAAGAAAGAAUGGAUUCGCAGGGGAGAUUAUUUAAAUGAUACAACCCAUACAUUGAUGGUAACAGAUUCAAAUCAAGCUGAGGCAGAACAAAAUAUUGAAGUUAUUCAUUACACAUAGGUUAAGUUUUUGUUAACUUUUGAAUUCAUGACAUUGCAACUCUAUUACAUACACACAACAUAUUUCAUUCAUUCAAUGCUGUGAGGGUUAUUUUCUUAUAAGUAUUAGAUUGUAUUUUUGUUCUCGCAACAUAAGACAAAUUACAAUAUCAGUGGCUCAUAGUUUUCAAGAUUAUUUUUGAUAUUUUUUUCCAGUACAUCUUCAAACAUUUCAAACAUGGUUGUUCUAUUUUGUUUUGUCUACAUAAAGAUAAAAACAUUCUGGUAAACAAUUUAACCUGAGUGUUUUUGAUUGAGCUAAAUAAUAAAAGUACUUUAGUUUAAAUGUUUGAUGAGACAUUUUGCAAUAGUAAAUGUUUAAAAACUACAUAAUCCUGUCAUAUAUAUCUAAUUUGUAUUUUUAAAUUAAUCGCACUUUUUAUACUGCACUAGUUUGACAGA